UACGUAGGGACCAAGCGUUGUUCGGAUUUACUGGGCGUAAAGGGCGCGUAGGCGGCGCGGUAAGUCACUUGUGAAAUCUCUGAGCUUAACUCAGAACGGCCAAGUGAUACUGCAGUGCUAGAGUGUGGAAGGGGCAAUCGGAAUUCUUGGUGUAGCGGUGAAAUGCGUAGAUAUCAAGAGGAACACCUGAGGUGAAGACGGGUUGCUGGGCUGACACUGACGCUGAGGCGCGAAAGCCAGGGGAGCAAACGGG
rnacentral:rRNA from 1 species